AUCUUAUCUUGAUUUAAAAUUGUACUAAAAAUCUUUUAUAUAUUUUCAGCUUCGAUCUACUAUCACUAAGGGAAUUUUAAUUAUGGGUUUUGUCAGAAAAAAAAGAAAAGAAGGGUGUUGGUGGCUAGUUCCCAAGGCGUCCGUAACAAAAUUUGCGGCUUUUUGGGAUACAUCCCUAAAAAGACGUAAAAAUAAAAGGUCGCCUGGGAAUUGGUACCAUUUCUUAUGUGCAGGUAUAGGUACAGUGAUGUCGGAACUGAGCGAAUGAAAAGGUAUAAAAUUAAACAGUUUCUUUAUUUAAGUAUUUCGUUUUGCUUUAGAAGUUUAGAUUAGAAGUUGUAAGGACCAAUGUGGGGAAAAACCCACGUUCAAAGCCGGGCAUAAGAAUAUACCACAUACCGACGACGCUCAUAUCUACAGCCUAGUAUAUUCUAGUGAAGUAUGUUUGGAAUGCAAAAAAAAUUGUGUUGUUUGUUCACCCUUGAACGUCCCUGCGAAUUUUCGUGUCGAAGAAAAAGUAUAUUUCUAUUUCACGACCGGAGAAGUAUCUGCCUUCUGUGGACUAUCUUUCACUCCAUCAUCAAUAUGAAUUCUGCGUGAAUGGAUUUGAAUGCAAAGAGCAUUUUGUUCAUUGUAAACGAAUUUUAUGAGAUAUAAUGAAGAUCAGCGAUGAAUAUCCCCUGUUGCAGAAGGGUGUAUCCGAUCACUUUAUAAAAAGUCGCGAUAUCGUAACAGUGAAGCUAAGUCCCUUAUUAGUAUAUAUAAUCUUUUUCAUCAUUAAUAUUUUUUUCUUUCAGAAUUCAUGUUAUCAACGGAUUAUUGAGUUUUACGCAGGCAAAUGGCAUUAGUGACGAACGAGUUGGAACAACUUCAUUAUAUGUAAAGGACGUAGUAAAUGUAAUACACUCAAUAUUGCCGCUUCGAUCUACUAUCACUAAGGGAAUUUUAAUUAUGGGUUUUGUCAGAAAAAAAAGAAAAGAAGGGUGUUGGUGGCUAGUUCCCAAGGCGUCCGUAACAAAAUUUGCGGCUUUUUGGGAUACAUCCCUAAAAAGACGUAAAAAUAAAAGGUCGCCUGGGAAUUGGUACCAUUUCUUAUGUGCAGGUAUAGGUACAGUGAUGUCGGAACUGAGCGAAUGAAAAGGUAUAAAAUUAAACAGUUUCUUUAUUUAAGUAUUUCGUUUUGCUUUAGAAGUUUAGAUUAGAAGUUGUAAGGACCAAUGUGGGGAAAAACCCACGUUCAAAGCCGGGCAUAAGAAUAUACCACAUACCGACGACGCUCAUAUCUACAGCCUAGUAUAUUCUAGUGAAGUAUGUUUGGAAUGCAAAAAAAAUUGUGUUGUUUGUUCACCCUUGAACGUCCCUGCGAAUUUUCGUGUCGAAGAAAAAGUAUAUUUCUAUUUCACGACCGGAGAAGUAUCUGCCUUCUGUGGACUAUCUUUCACUCCAUCAUCAAUAUGAAUUCUGCGUGAAUGGAUUUGAAUGCAAAGAGCAUUUUGUUCAUUGUAAACGAAUUUUAUGAGAUAUAAUGAAGAUCAGCGAUGAAUAUCCCCUGUUGCAGAAGGGUGUAUCCGAUCACUUUAUAAAAAGUCGCGAUAUCGUAACAGUGAAGCUAAGUCCCUUAUUAGUAUAUAUAAUCUUUUUCAUCAUUAAUAUUUUUUUCUUUCAGAAUGCAUGUUAUCAACGGAUUAUUGAGUUUUACGCAGGCAAAUGGCAUUAGUGACGAACGAGUUGGAACAACUUCAUUAUAUGUAAAGGACGUAGUAAAUGUAAUACACUCAAUAUUGCCGGUGAGUGGUUUGAUUUUUAUUUAAGGUAUUUUAUUUUAGUAUAAAAAAAUUGUUGUUAGACACCUAGAUAUAUAAAAUAAGCAUGCAAACAAAAAAAAAACAGUUUAAUAAAUAUUAAUAAAUAAUUAAAUAAUUUUGGUAUAAAUAAACUUAAAUCUAGUAUCACAGUAGAAUAAAUAAUCAAGAUAAUAAAAGGUAAAAUAAGUAAAUAUCACAGAUUCAAUACAAAAUUAAAAUUAUUCUAACUAAAAUUAAAAAUAAUUAAGCUAAAAGUAAAUUAUUAAAAGUUAGUUCAGCUAUCAGUCUUUAAAAAAAAGUAAUUAAAAUUUUGUUAAAUUAUUACAGAUUAUUAAAAGUUAACUAAAUUAUCAGUAUUAAAAAAGUAUAAAAUUAUUAAAAUAUCACAGAUUAAAAAAAUUAAAUAUAUCAGUCUUUCCAAAAAUUAAAAUUCAAAAAUAUCACAGUGAGCUUAUUAAAGUAAGUACCUAAGUAAAUAAUUUAGGUUAGAAUCAAUAAAUUAGAAAAUAAAUUACAUAAAGAAACAUUCAAUACUAUAAUUUUAGGCAUGCAAUAAAUAAAUUACUUUAAAAUACAACAAAUUUAGAUCUUUUUAUUCAGAAGUCUUGGGGCAUUUGUUUCGAAACAGGGUGUUUCGCAUUUUGGGUGGUUCGGUUCUUUUCUUCUUUUUAAAUUUUUAGAUUCGUGGAAAAUUUUUUCUUAACUCAGCGAUAAGUAUUAUAUAUAAACGUUACAAAAAAAAAGAAUAAAAUCUAUACAAAAUGCAGGGAACAUUUAAAAAUUAUUUCGUCCAAAAUCGAAUAUUUUACUGAUGCCCAUUUUGGACUUUGGAAAAAUGGAGGAUCCUUAACACCUGAACAGUAUACAUUUUGAGAUGUGGAUCGGACAAAUCUAUACGAGUUCAGAGGAGAACGUAAUACCUUGCCUGGUUUCUAUAUCUAAAUUUAGUUCUUGUUGGACUAGUAACUCUCUCUACUUUUCUUCCCCAGGUUUAGAUUUACCUGCGUGUGACUUUUAUCAACUUUAAUUUAUCUGGUUUCAAUCAAAGAAAAUUAAUCAACGUUCAACAUUACAGCAGUUAUCAGCAAUAUGUACAAAAAAAAUCAACAAAUAAUCAAAGUGCUUCGAUCUACUAUCACUGAGGGAAUUUUAAUUAUGGGUUUUGUCAGAAAAAAAAAAGAAAAGAAGGGUGUUGGUGGCUAGUUCCCAAGGCGUCCGUAACAAUUUUGCCAACAAAACUUUAAGAACGCUUGUAAUAAUAAAAUCUAAAAAAAAUAGUAUGAAAUUACCCCAAAAAUGUGAAAAAUUAAAAUAUUUAAAAAAAUA